rnacentral:lncRNA from 1 species
UUCUGUAAGACUCUGUAGCACCCUCUGCUCUAUGAGGGUGAGGUCAUGCCAGGGGGAAAUGACUUCUUCUGGACACCAGAACAGAUGUGUCACAUGACCAACCCAGGACUAGGGGAAGGAAAUGAAGCACUCUGGGAACACUCGGGAUUCUGGGAUGAAGUACUCCCAAUGGACACCUCGAAGUGAUGGGCAGCAGCCAUAGCCUGUGACCCAGGCUUGGCAUAAUUGGGUCUUCCACAAGCGUCUACUCCUUAAGCUCCAGGGAGACCUCUGGCUUCAGCAGGAACGAGGCUGCAUGAUCUCAAGGUCCCUCCAAUCUCUCUUCUGAGCUGAAAAAAAAUCAUCAGCAAAGAGGUCCUUGUCCCGGUGGACACAAUGCUUUGUGCAGUGUGAAAGCCUACAGAUAGGUGUGAGGACUCAUGCCAGGAGAGAAGGAGGCACCGGAGUGGGACUGACAUUGUAUCUAUCACUAUCAUUCACAGAAGAAAGGACCUUGAAAACCCUACUCCAUCGUAGAAUCUACUAGAAGUGAUUUAGCUGUUCGCAGGAGUCUGGCUACUGGCCCAUGUGCCUGAGCAGAGUACCUGCUGGAGAGCUCGCUCAGCUCCUCGGAGUGCUUCUGGUUUAGGACUUUGGAGACCCUGGGCUGGAGAAAUGAUUCAGUGGCUAAGAAGAGAACAUGUACUGGCUACUUUGUAGAAGACACAGACUUGGUUCCUAGCACUUGCGUCAGGAUGUUCACAACCACCUGUGUCUGCAGUUCCAGAAGAUCCAGCGCCCUCUUCUGGCUGUCAUGGGUACUGAACCCACAUGCACUCACCCCCACUUCAUCCUGUGGGAGGAAAAAAGACUCAGGCCAUGCCACUUUUAUCUCUCCAGUACACAGAAAGAAACGAAAGAUGCGGUGCAGCUAGAUCAUAAUAGUCAGGAAACCACAUCCUUCCUCAUAACCCUGAGGUUAUGAGCAACACGCAGGAACCUGAAGGAGAGCCUUCUCUAUCCAUCUGUGUGGUUUCUCCCAACUGGACUUGGAAAGGUCCAUGCGGAGACCACCGGUCUGUGACCUGGGUGGUGACAGUGAGCACAGAGUCAGUCUUAUACAUUUCUUUGUCUCAUCUCAGCCCUGACAGUAGAAGCCACCGGUCUCUCACUGAAGAGCUUCAACCGAGGGAUAAAAUUUGAUGAGUGGCACCGAGGAUGUAAAAGGGGCUGACCGUCAAAGCCAACGACUCUGACCAGAAGGCUGGCAAUUGUGGCUUCCUUAUUUCCUCCUGCUUCUUGCUCAAUUUCGCCUCAUCUGUAGUCCACACCUGAUGGUUUCGUUUAAAACAGCCAUCCAGCCUUGACCUUGGCCCCUCCACAAAACCGGGCAUGAUUUAUUUUCAUCUGCAGCAGAUGCCACCCCCCGAUACACUGAAUAUUUUGCCUGUCACCCAACCAGAAUGUCAAUGUCUCAGUCUUUUCCUGUAGGCUUCAUUAAUGUAUUUGUGACACCGAGACUAAUGCCCGCAAUGAGAGAACUGUUUAAUAAAUAUUUUAGUGAAUGAAUGGUUGAUGACAAGAUUUACAAG